UGAGACUGCAGGUCCUGGGGGGACAAAGACCACCAUGCCACUUGAGGAGGCCUGCAUGGCCUCGGGGGAAGACCCCCGAGGGUGGGAGGUGUGUCACAGGAAGUGAGUUCUGUCCCCAUGGAUGGUGCAGGACCUGGUGAACCCCAGAGACCGCCUGCCUUCCUAACACAAUGAGAGAAAAGCCUGGGGGAUCCUGGGGAGGCAUCUGAGCCCGCCCCCAAGGCCAGGCUCUCCCCACUUCCCCGCAAAGAAUCGCCCCAUGCAGCGUGGCCCCCCAGCAGAAACCAGGUCUCCUCCUGCCCCUCAUCCCUGUUGGUCAGAGGCACAGCUGGGCAGCUGGCAGCCAGACCCGGGUCAGGGCAGAAGUUAAAGCGCUGGGCUGGGCAGAGGCCUGGGGGGGUGGGGGUGUGGUUGCAGGGACAGGAGUGUCCGCACUAGACUAGGGCUGCGGUCGGGGCUCCCCCAACUAUUCCAUGGAGUUGGUGGGUGAGGCAGGGGUUGCAGAAGUGGGAAUUGCAGAAUUGGGAAGAAGAAAGCCUCCAGGACGCCUCGACAGAGGAGAGCAGGAGGCUCCCAGAUCUCUCUGUGAGGAGGCAUUGGUGAGAUUUAAAGCAAAGAAAAAUCAAGAAACCCACAGGCAGGG
rnacentral:lncRNA from 1 species